ensembl:lincRNA
UUAACUACGUGGCAAACAUCAUACUCUCUUAAUUUUUUUUUUUAAGAGACUAAGGUGUCACUAUGUUCUUCAGGUUGCUCUGCUCCUGGGUCCAAGCUGUUCUCCUGCCUCAGCCUCCCAAGAAGCUGAAACUACAGGAACACGCAACUACCUGGCUUGCAAAUACCACUGCUAGUAAGAAGAUAUUACAUGGAUCCCUGAGGUUGGUCCCCAAUACUACAAGGCAAUUUGGUAUCAUAAUAGAACACUGCAGACACAAUGCUGAGUGA